AUGCAAGUCCUUCCAUUGGUAUGGAGGCUUUUCAUUUCUAUGAUGAGAAGCCUCUGGAAAGUCCCCACAAAGCUGAGGACAGACAGACUCCACCUCAUCAGCAGCUUUGGGCUGCGUUGCUUCACUGAUGCUGGAUUUGGGAUAUCAUCUCAGAGCCUGAUGCUUCCAGGUUCAUUGAGGUAUGCAAGCAGAAUCCCUGACAUUGGACAUUGCCAAUGAGCUGGAGUACACAGACUUUUAAAACAAAGUAAAAUAAUAUUCUAAGUCAUGUAAGGCUUCAUUUGUUAUGGUCCCAAUCCAAAUCUGCUUCAUCUGAAUUAGUUUCUUUUGGAAAAUUACUCUUCAUGAUAGAUGAUUUACCUGUUACAUACCUGAAGUCUGACAACCAUCUAAAGGCUCACAUGACCUAGG
rnacentral:lncRNA from 1 species